GGGUUGUGAGGUUAAGCGACUAAGCGUACACGGUGGAUGCCCUGGCAGUCAGAGGCGAUGAAGGACGUGCUAAUCUGCGAUAAGCGUCGGUAAGGUGAUAUGAACCGUUAUAACCGGCGAUUUCCGAAUGGGGAAACCCAGUGUGUUUCGACACACUAUCAUUAACUGAAUCCAUAGGUUAAUGAGGCGAACCGGGGGAACUGAAACAUCUAAGUACCCCGAGGAAAAGAAAUCAACCGAGAUUCCCCCAGUAGCGGCGAGCGAACGGGGAGCAGCCCAGAGCCUGAAUCAGUAUGUGUGUUAGUGGAAGCGUCUGGAAAGGCGCGCGAUACAGGGUGACAGCCCCGUACACAAAAAUGCACAUGCUGUGAGCUCGAUGAGUAGGGCGGGACACGUGGUAUCCUGUCUGAAUAUGGGGGGACCAUCCUCCAAGGCUAAAUACUCCUGACUGACCGAUAGUGAACCAGUACCGUGAGGGAAAGGCGAAAAGAACCCCGGCGAGGGGAGUGAAAAAGAACCUGAAACCGUGUACGUACAAGCAGUGGGAGCUCGCUUAGGCGUGUGACUGCGUACCUUUUGUAUAAUGGGUCAGCGACUUAUAUUCUGUAGCAAGGUUAACCGAAUAGGGGAGCCGAAGGGAAACCGAGUCUUAACUGGGCGUUAAGUUGCAGGGUAUAGACCCGAAACCCGGUGAUCUAGCCAUGGGCAGGUUGAAGGUUGGGUAACACUAACUGGAGGACCGAACCGACUAAUGUUGAAAAAUUAGCGGAUGACUUGUGGCUGGGGGUGAAAGGCCAAUCAAACCGGGAGAUAGCUGGUUCUCCCCGAAAGCUAUUUAGGUAGCGCCUCGUGAAUUCAUCUCCGGGGGUAGAGCACUGUUUCGGCAAGGGGGUCAUCCCGACUUACCAACCCGAUGCAAACUGCGAAUACCGGAGAAUGUUAUCACGGGAGACACACGGCGGGUGCUAACGUCCGUCGUGAAGAGGGAAACAACCCAGACCGCCAGCUAAGGUCCCAAAGUCAUGGUUAAGUGGGAAACGAUGUGGGAAGGCCCAGACAGCCAGGAUGUUGGCUUAGAAGCAGCCAUCAUUUAAAGAAAGCGUAAUAGCUCACUGGUCGAGUCGGCCUGCGCGGAAGAUGUAACGGGGCUAAACCAUGCACCGAAGCUGCGGCAGCGACGCUUAUGCGUUGUUGGGUAGGGGAGCGUUCUGUAAGCCUGCGAAGGUGUGCUGUGAGGCAUGCUGGAGGUAUCAGAAGUGCGAAUGCUGACAUAAGUAACGAUAAAGCGGGUGAAAAGCCCGCUCGCCGGAAGACCAAGGGUUCCUGUCCAACGUUAAUCGGGGCAGGGUGAGUCGACCCCUAAGGCGAGGCCGAAAGGCGUAGUCGAUGGGAAACAGGUUAAUAUUCCUGUACUUGGUGUUACUGCGAAGGGGGGACGGAGAAGGCUAUGUUGGCCGGGCGACGGUUGUCCCGGUUUAAGCGUGUAGGCUGGUUUUCCAGGCAAAUCCGGAAAAUCAAGGCUGAGGCGUGAUGACGAGGCACUACGGUGCUGAAGCAACAAAUGCCCUGCUUCCAGGAAAAGCCUCUAAGCAUCAGGUAACAUCAAAUCGUACCCCAAACCGACACAGGUGGUCAGGUAGAGAAUACCAAGGCGCUUGAGAGAACUCGGGUGAAGGAACUAGGCAAAAUGGUGCCGUAACUUCGGGAGAAGGCACGCUGAUAUGUAGGUGAAGUCCCUCGCGGAUGGAGCUGAAAUCAGUCGAAGAUACCAGCUGGCUGCAACUGUUUAUUAAAAACACAGCACUGUGCAAACACGAAAGUGGACGUAUACGGUGUGACGCCUGCCCGGUGCCGGAAGGUUAAUUGAUGGGGU
rnacentral:rRNA from 1 species